rnacentral:tRNA from 1 species
GCCGCGGUUCCCGAGCCAGGACCAAGGGGCCAGACUCGAGAUCUGGUGUCUCUCCGAGACCCGCAGGUUCAAAUCCUGCCCGCGGCG